GACGAACGCUGGCGGCGUGCUUAACACAUGCAAGUCGAACGGAAAGGCCCUGCUUUUGUGGGGUGCUCGAGUGGCGAACGGGUGAGUAACACGUGAGUAACCUGCCCUUGACUUUGGGAUAACUUCAGGAAACUGGGGCUAAUACCGGAUAGGAGCUCCUGCUGCCUGGUGGGGGUUGGAAAGUUUCGGCGGUUGGGGAUGGACUCGCGGCUUAUCAGCUUGUUGGUGGUGUAGUGGCUUACCAAGGCUUUGACGGGUAGCCGGCCUGAGAGGGUGACCGGCCACAUUGGGACUGAGAUACGGCCCAGACUCCUACGGGAGGCAGAAGUGGGGAAUAUUGCACAAUGGGCGGAAGCCGGAGGCAGCAACGCCGCGUGCGGGAUGACGGCCUUCGGUUUGGAAACCGCUUUCGCCGGUGACGAAGCGGGAGUGACGGUAAUGGGUAAAGAAGCACCGGCUAACUACGUG
rnacentral:rRNA from 1 species